UAAGGAUAUUUUCGGAAUAUCUCACAUGGUUGAGAUACGUUAACGUUUUGCGUUCAGUUUUGAAAGUUCAUACUUUCAAAACUUGUUCUUUGAAAACUGGAUAAAACGACAUUGAAAGCAAACACAAAUUUCUAUCUUUAAUUAGAUAUGAGUCAAACAAGUCAAGUAACAUUGACGUGUAACCAAAUCUUGAACUUCUGUUCAAGUGAUAACUUAUU
rnacentral:misc_RNA from 1 species